rnacentral:rRNA from 1 species
AGGACGAACGCUGGCGGCGUGCUUAACACAUGCAAGUCGAACGGUGAACCAGGGCUUGCCCUGGGAAUCAGUGGCGAACGGGUGAGUAACACGUGACCAACCUGCCCCUAACUCUGGGAUAACCCCGGGAAACCGGAGCUAAUACCGGAUACGAGACCGAGUGGCAUCACACGGUCUGGAAAGUUUUUCGGUUAGGGAUGGGGUCGCGGCCUAUCAGCUUGUUGGUGGGGUAAUGGCCUACCAAGGCGACGACGGGUAG